UACGUAGGGUGCGAGCGUUAAUCGGAAUUACUGGGCGUAAAGGGUGCGCAGGCGGCUUUGUAAGUCAGAUGUGAAAUCCCCGGGCUUAACCUGGGAAUUGCGUUUGAAACUACAGAGCUAGAGUGUAGCAGAGGGGGGUGGAAUUCCAUGUGUAGCAGUGAAAUGCGUAGAGAUAUGGAAGAACAUCGAUGGCGAAGGCAGCCCCCUGGGUUAACACUGACGCUCAUGCACGAAAGCGUGGGGAGCAAACAGG
rnacentral:misc_RNA from 1 species